rnacentral:misc_RNA from 1 species
AGCUUUUAAAAUUUAAAGCCUCAUCACCCAAAUUUACAGACAGGAUUUUGGAGGUUAGACACCAUUUCUGUCAAGAUUACAUUAUUGCAAAUCAAAAGAACCGACUUACAGGCGAUGAAUUUCAAUGCCUAGAAUGUCAUAGACUUCCAUGACAUGUCGAGGCGUCUAAUCGCGGUAUAUCUCUUCACAACGUGUCUUCCAUGAGAAUUUGCUAGAUACACAGUCAAGCUGAUACCAGCCAUAUUUGAAUUCG